rnacentral:rRNA from 1 species
GACGAACGCUGGCGGCGUGCUUAACACAUGCAAGUCGAACGGAAAGGCCCUGCUUUUGUGGGGUGCUCGAGUGGCGAACGGGUGAGUAACACGUGAGUACCCUGCCCCUGACUUUGGGAUAACUUCAGGAAACUUGGUCUAAUACCGGAUAGGAGCUCCUGCUGCAUGGUGGGGGUUGGAAAGUUUCGGCGGUUGGGGAUGGACUCGCGGCUUAUCAGCUUGAUGGUGGGGUAGUGGCUUACCAAGGCUUUGACAGGUAGCCGGCCUGAGCGGGUGACAGGACACAUUGGGAUGGGGAUACGGCACAGACUACUACGGGAGGCAGGGGUGGAGUAUAGUGCACAAUGGGCGGAGGCCAAGUGCGGUAACGCCGCGUGGGGGAUGACGGCCUUCGGUUUGUAUUCCGAUUUCGCCUGUGACGAAGCGUGAGUGACAGUAAUGGGUAAAGAAGCACCGGCUAACUACGUG